ensembl:lncRNA
AUUAUGUUGUCUCCCUCUAGGUCAUUCUCUCUGAAAAGUACUUAAAUUGAGUUCCCAGGGAAAAUCAGAUAUUCGCUAAUGUCCUAGUGAAUGAUAUGAGAAGGCCCAGUUCAUGAAGGCUCUGGAGAAGGUGAGAAAUGUGGGAUUACUCUGGAAGUCAUUUCUGCCACCUCUUAGGACAGAGAAUGUAGAUUUCCCAGGGAGCACUUCAUCAACAACCUUCAAAGCCAGCAAACUGAAGCAGACUAUGGCAAAGAGAAGUAAUGAGAGAGAGACAGAGAUAGAGAGUCAAAGGAGUGAUAUGACCGGGAAGCUAGAGAAGACACAGUUGGUGUGUUCAAGGGAGAAGCCAAUGUCUGGGAAACCUCCCAGUCCAAUGAAGCUGCUGAACUGUUUUUAAAGAAGAGUGUGCAAAUUGUGUCUUCAGCUAUUUCUUGCACAUGGAAAAUAUUAUAUUUUACUGGUGAUUAAGUUUGCUAUCAGCAAAAUAUCUAUAAAGUACAUGUCAUGGAAAGAUGUGGAAUAAUCUGCACUGACACUAAUGAAAAGGUUUCCUUUCUCCCAGAUCAUCUGCCUUUACUCAGCAUUUCUCUGUAGGCAAGGUACUCCCUGGCAAGUGUUCUUCCAUAGCCAAAGCAUGCUACAGUGCCAAGCUAUCUGCCAAGCCUACUACCUUUUCUUUGUCUUAUCUCUCUCUUUUUUUCCUUUCUCU